CUUUAGCCCUGAUUGGAGCAAGUAUCCUUUAUUAUUUUUCUUUAAAAUAAUAAAGAUACUGCGGAAAGCAGGAACAUGG
rnacentral:sRNA from 1 species